UACGUAGGGUGCAAGCGUUGUCCGGAAUUAUUGGGCGUAAAGAGCUCGUAGGCGGUCUGUCGCGUCGGCUGUGAAAACCCGAGGCUCAACCUCGGGCCUGCAGUCGAUACGGGCAAACUAGAGUACUGCAGGGGAGACUGGAAUUCCUGGUGUAGCGGUGAAAUGCGCAGAUAUCAGGAGGAACACCGGUGGCGAAGGCGGGGUCUCUGGGCAGUAACUGACGCUGGAGGAGCGAAAGCGUGGGGAGCGAACAGG
rnacentral:rRNA from 1 species